ensembl:lncRNA
GAAAAGGGUACUUGAAAUGUUAAUUUUCUGCAAGGACUUUUUCCCAAUUAUUCAUAUCCAUUAUUCAUAGUUUAAUUAUGUCUCUCUCUAAAACACAAUUAAAGCAUAAUUCAAAAUACAGGUUGGGAAAUGAAUGAAUGAAUGAUUAAAUGAAUGAAUGAAUGAUUAAUUAAAUAAAAAUUAUUAUAUGUUUAUUUAUUUACUUACUUAGUUACUUAUUUAAAACUAGAUUGACCAGAUUAUUUGUGGAUUUGUCAAAAAUUGUGAAAUAUGGCUACACUGAUGCUGUCUAAAGGAGAAUUGCUCUAAAAGAGGAUAAUCUUGUCACAACAGUUCUCCAACAUAAAAGACUUUAAAAAUAGCAUUUUUUUCUAGCUGUAGGUAUCAACAUGAAAGUACAUUUAACUUCUAAUUAAAGUGUGGAGUUAGUGUUCUCUUUUAAAACCACUGAUAAUUAUAGUCCAUGACUGAUGACUAAGAGUGUUUGCAUUGCUGGGGUUUGCUUUUCAUAGCACAAAAUAGCUAGCCCUUUUAAGACGAAGGUAAAUAGAUUCUGCCUCCUCAAGCAUUUUGACAAUGGAAAACAUUUUGUUUGUCAGCACAUAUCGUCUAACACCCAUAGACAGAGAAACGAGCGAGAGAAAUCAGCAGAGAUUGUCAUAAUCAUGGGCAUGCCUAUUUUCAUUAAUGUUACUCAAAUGGGGUAAUAUCUUUCAAAAUUAAAGGCAUCAACAUCCGUUUAUAGCUGAAAUGUAAUAAGUUAAAAUACAAUAAAAGGCACCUGCUGAUUGGCAAAAUAAUUUUCAAUUUAGUCUGAUGAGGAACAUUUCCAUUUAAACUGUCAUUAAGUGGAGCAGCAUGAUUACAAAACAACUAUGCCCAUGGCACAGAACACAUUUCAAUGAAACAGGACCACAUUUGGUUGAAAGAAAUCCAAAAUGAAGGUAUACAUAUCAAUAGAGAACGUACUAAUUUCUCAUUUUGUUUCAUUGAAAUCAUUGGAGAACUGUAUUCCACUGAGAUCAUGUUCCCAUCAAUAAAGCAUCCCUUCUUUAAUGUCCUUAGGACUUCUGCUUUUGAUGCUGAAAUUUUUCAAUGCCCUCUAGGUAACCAAGAAUGGAAGAGAUUCAUGAGUGCACUUCAGAAGGGUGUUGGCCCCAUUAUCAAUGCAGCAUCAUCUUGGGUUCCAAGUGAGCGGUGUCUGGCACUCUGAAGCGAUCGCACACCACGUGACACUCUGGACGAGGAUCCCUGCUUGAUUGUAUUCCUAUCAGAAAACACUGACAAUCUGAUUGCACAUUACCACAUUACCAGGAGAGUGAUUAUGGUGAAUUUUGUGUUGUUUUCUUUGAAAUUACUUUUAUAGUAAGUGGAAAGUGCAAAUUUGAAAAUACAAUGACUAAUCUAAAAAUAAAUAAAAUUAAAAGUUUAUUGUUUGAAUUAUU